AUUGAACGCUGGCGGAAUGCUUUACACAUGCAAGUCGAACGGCAGCACGGGUGCUUGCACCUGGUGGCGAGUGGCGAACGGGUGAGUAAUACAUCGGAACGUACCCAGACGUGGGGGAUAACGUAGCGAAAGUUACGCUAAUACCGCAUACGUCCUGAGGGAGAAAGCAGGGGAUCGUAAGACCUUGCGCGUUUGGAGCGGCCGAUGUCUGAUUAGCUAGUUGGUGAGGUAAAGGCUCACCAAGGCGACGAUCAGUAGCUGGUCUGAGAGGAUGAUCAGCCACACUGGAACUGAGACACGGUCCAGACUCCUACGGGAGGCAGCAGUGGGGAAUUUUGGACAAUGGGCGAAAGCCUGAUCCAGCCAUUCCGCGUGAGUGAAGAAG
rnacentral:rRNA from 1 species